GAUGAACGCUGGCGGCGUGCCUAAUACAUGCAAGUCGAGCGAACGGACGAGAAGCUUGCUUCUCUGAUGUUAGCGGCGGACGGGUGAGUAACACGUGGAUAACCUACCUAUAAGACUGGGAUAACUUCGGGAAACCGGAGCUAAUACCGGAUAAUAUUUUGCACCGCAUGGUUCAAAAGUGAAAGACGGUCUUGCUGUCACUUCUAGAUGGAUCCGCGCUGCAUUAGCUAGUUGGUAAGGUAACGGCUUACCAAGGCAACGAUGCAUAGCCGACCUGUGAGGGUGAUAGGCCGCACUGGAACUGAGACACGGUCCAGACUCCUACGGGAGGCAGCAGUAGGGAAUCUGCCGCAAUGGGCGAAAGCCUGGCGGAGCAACGGGGCGUGAGUGAUGAAGGUCUUCGGAGCGUAAAACUCUGUUAUGAGGGAAGAACAUAUGUGUAAGUAACUGUGCACAUCUUGACGGUACCUAAUCAGAAAGCCACGGCUAACUACGUG
rnacentral:rRNA from 1 species